rnacentral:rRNA from 1 species
UACGUAGGGUGCGAGCGUUGUCCGGAUUUAUUGGGCGUAAAGAGCUCGUAGGCGGCUUGUCGCGUCGGAUGUGAAAGCCCGGGGCUUAACUCCGGGUCUGCAUUCGAUACGGGCAGGCUAGAGUGUGGCAGGGGAGAUCGGAAUUCCUGGUGUAGCGGUGAAAUGCGCAGAUAUCAGGAGGAACACCGGUGGCGAAGGCGGAUCUCUGGGCCAUUACUGACGCUGAGGAGCGAAAGCGUGGGGAGCGAACAGG